UGCCAGGUGUCAUUUUCUGAAUGUCGUUUUAAGCAGCUCAGGUGUUUGUGAAAAUGCCGCUUAGACUUUGUUACUUGGAGUGUUAAAUUGGUCGGGUCAAGAAUUUGUAUGGAUGGGGUCCUAAAUGAAUUUAAAUAUUGAUUUUCAAUUUUUUCAAUUUUUUUUUUCUUUCUAAAAAUUUAUACCGAAAAUUGCAGUUCCAGUUAAAAUGGCCAUAGAAGCUAAUUAAGCAAAGUUAAUGACCGUAGUGAUCGAUUACUAAAAGUUGAGUGAUCAUAACUCUUCUUUUUCACGACUAAUUUGUGUGUUAUGGCGUAAAUAAACAAUAAUAACUACGUCUCAGUUCUAAAUAUGUUGGGAUUCGGAAUCCCGGCUUCUUUAUUUAAAAGUGAAAAAUAAGUUAAUUUUAGAAUUUCUCUAACAAGUCUAAAACAUAUCCUUAGCUACUACCUGCCGUCCAUUUUACUUAUCAUGUUUUUUUUUUUUCCACGCCCUUUAUCAUUUGAUCUCAAUUUAAUACUACUUUCUUUUUCACUAUAUAAAUUUCUCUCCACAUUUAUUGACUAAGGGCAAAGACGAAACUAAUGGUUAAUUAUAUCUUGGUUAUCUUGGUUUUUGUAAAGUGACAAUUAUUUUAACCCUCAGGGUUUGGCCUGGUGGUAAUUGGCUUGAGCCUUGGAUGCUCCCUUUCAAGGUCUCAAGUUCGAAACCCACUGGGUGCAAACAAUUUCUGAGGGCCAUCGGACUGGGGUAAAACCCUGAAUUACCCGUGGUGCACUUGCGGGAAACUCCUUGCCGAGGGCCUGUGCACCCCCGGGAUUAGUCGGGGCUCAAAGAGACCCGGACACCCGGUGCUUAAUCAAAAAAAAAGUGACAAUUAUUUUAGACCAUCUGUUUUUAGCGAGGACUACAAGUAAAAUGGAUGGAGACAAUAGCGGAGCCAGCAUUUUCACCUAUGGGGUUCAAAAAUAUAAAGAAGUAAAUACAUGAAGAAGGUACCACAGUGCACCUUAAAUGUGCUUUGGAUUCAAGACUUGAGAAUGGUAGUGUGGAUGACCAACAAGAUUAUCGCAGAUGGGGCAAUGGUGGUGGGACUUUUCACAAGUCGGCUAGCAUUGAUCCCUCGGCCUUUGUAGAAAUUGGUGCUGCAGUACAUUCAGAAUGUGCAGUAGGUGCAGAUUGUCACAUUGGCUCUGGAGCAAUCAUUGGACCUACUGUCACAAUAGGUCAAUCGACGAAAAUACGACCCUGAAGGUGAAUAGAAAACCAUGUAGAAAUAGGUGCAAAUAUAUGUAUCGAUAGGGGCAGGGGCCAUGCAGUUGGAGAACAUACAAAGAUAAUUUGGUUCAAGUACUUCCCUACUUCUGAAUUUUUGGAGAAAAAGUUGGUUUCGAGACGGUUCUUAUGAUCUGCGGUACAGAUAGGCCACAAUGUGGUGAGUGAGAGAAGCUUCCUCAUUUGUGGACAAGUCAGCGUUGCGGGUUCAGUGACGUAUGUUAUCCUUUUUAACCCUGCUUUGAUAAAGAAUAGAAGUAAAAACACCUUUUUGGAUUUGAUCACCAUUUUAUUUAACUUUCUAGUUCAGUGAACUUUUGCCUUUCAAGAUUAUAUAUUUGUCCUUAUUUGGAUUAAUCUACAUAUCUGUCCCUUUGUUUUCUUGGCAUAGGUGACUAUGUAACUUUAGGAGGAAGAGUUGGGAUCCGUGAACCGUGAUCAUGUAAGCUUAGCAGCUAAUAGCUGUGUCAAGAAGGAUAUUAGUGAACCUGGAGAUUAUGGCGGCUUUCCUGCUAUUCGUGCACGCAAUUGGCGAAGGAAAAUUGCUAUACAUCGUCGAGCCUUGAAGUAAGAAUUCUGUUUGGAUGCUAAUCUUAUCCAGGAACUCAAGAUUUGAACAAUUUAUUCAAGACUUGAAGUAAGAAUUCUGUUUGGAUGCAUGCCAUUUGAUGUGCACCCGGAGGACCAUCUCAGGAACUAUUGAUUACUUAAAUCUUCAACACCUACUGUUGUUUGUUGAAUGAAAUACUUAAUAAAUGCAUCAUGAACUAAGACUCCAAUCGCAUGGUAAAUAUAACCCUCUUAGCUAGUCUCAUUCAGUCA